UACGUAGGGUGCGAGCGUUAAUCGGAAUUACUGGGCGUAAAGCGUGCGCAGGCGGUUUUGUAAGCCAGAUGUGAAAUCCCCGGGCUUAACCUGGGAAUGGCAUUUGGGACUGCAAGGCUGGAGUGCGGCAGAGGAGACUGGAAUUCCUGGUGUAGCAGUGAAAUGCGUAGAUAUCAGGAGGAACACCGAUGGCGAAGGCAGGUCUCUGGGCUGACACUGACGCUCAUGCACGAAAGCGUGGGGAGCAAACAGGG
rnacentral:rRNA from 1 species